AUGACAACUAGCCAAAACGCUGCCAUUUUCAGUAGCGACUUACAAACGUUCAUUGUAACGAAAUAUGACCCUUUAUUAACCAUAGUAAAAGAGUUAAAUGAUAAGUUACAAAUUUCGGAAAAAGAAAAUUAUAGACUAGAAAAAAGACUGACAAGACUUGAAAGACAAAUGAUAAUAUUACUGAAAAAAUUAGAUGUGAGUGACAUAACUAUAGAUAUGGACGAUAAUGAAAUUACAAAAAUAACUGAAGAAGAAACUAAUACAACAAAAAAAAUCGAAAACAACGAGAAUUUAUCAACACCUUGGCUAUUUUCUUGCCAAUUAGGUACACCACUAUCAUCCUUACAAGUACUGUUAGAAUUUAAUGAAAAAGAUACCAUCGAAUUAAAUGUAAAAUUAUGGAGAAGGGAGGAAGACAUGUGGAUAAACUUUUUAGAAAAUAUAUCAAAAAAAAUUACUAGUAUUAAGAAUAGUAAUGUUACUGGUACUGAUGAUAAUAAUAAUACAAUAAAUAAGUUUUUACCAGAUUCAUAUGACUUAAUAAGCAUAAGAAGAUGCGUAAAAAAGUGUUUAUUAAAUUUAUGUACGGAUGAAAUAUUAAUUGUUUUAAGGAAUGUACCUGGAAAAACUCAGGCUAUUUAUAACACAGCAACUAUGACAUUAGUUGCAAUUCUUGCCUCGGCAGUUUUUGAGGCAUGGAAAAGAAUAGAAACGAUAGAUCCAAUGUCUCUAGGACGAACAGUGUUGGUUUUAGACGGGGAAGACGUGGGAUCCAGACUAAGAGCAGGCAACAAGAAAUUAAAAAUAGAGCCGUUAAAUUAAAUGUUCAUUAAAAAAAAAAAAAAAAAAAAAAAAAAAAAAAAAAAAAAAAAAAAAAAACAUUUUGAAAAUAUGCACAUGUAUGUACAAAUUUUUACAACAUAAUGAUUUAUAAAAAUACAAACCGAUGACGUUACAAGUAGUUGCCACAAACAGCUAUGUUAAAUCGCGUAUCUAUUAUUAUACGUGUAUGUAUGUACGUACUUAUUCGUUUCCUUGUUUUUGUUCUUAUUUUUGUUCUUAUUUUUGUUCCCGCUUAUGUUCCCAUUUAUGAUCCUAUUUCUGUUUUUAUUUUAUUUUUUUUGAUGUUAUAUACACUACACUUUUUGUUAUACUCCCUCUUAAUUUUAUAUGCUCUCUCAUAACAUAUGGUUUUUUUUUGAAAAAAAAAAAUAUAUUCAUAUAUGUGUUUAAAUAUGUAGAAGCUGUUUUAGAAGAAAACUGAUUUUUUUUUUGUUUUUGUGAUUUAGUUGUUUCGUUUAUUAAUUUAUUUGUUUGUUAAUUUUUGCUCUCGCAAUGCGUAUGUAUAUAUAUAUAUAUAUAUAUAUAUAUAUAUAUAUAUAUAUACACGUGUAUAUACAUAUAUGUAUACGCACAAACAUGCAUUUAAAAUAUUUUUUUUUUUUUUUUUUUUUUAUUGUUACAAAAUUUGUUUUUAUAAAAAUAUAUGUACAGUUCAUAUUUUUUUUCAUAAAUAACUUAUAUUAAUGUGAUAAGCAAGCACGUUAUAUAUAUAAAAAAAAAAAAAAAAAAAAAAAAAUCUGAUAUACGUACGUGUGUUAAAGCAAAUUUUUAAUAUUCCAUCCAUUCAAUGCUUUUACUCUAAUAUAUCUUAGGAACUAAACUAUAUUACUCAUGCUUUAUAUAUAUAUAUACACAUAGGUACUUACGACCAAAGUAGUCUUCGCAAAUUUAAUACUUCUCUUAUUCAUUAUUUAUAAUAUAUAACUACAAAAUUAAACUAAUUACGUUUUACUGUGUUAGACCGUGUUAGACCGUGUUAGACCGUGUUAGACCAUGUUAGACCGUGUUAGACCAUGUUAUACCAUGUUAGACCAUGUACAGUUAUACCCUGUCAUACUUGCUCAUGUUGCAGUUACUCUGCUGUUACGCACGUCAUAUUAUAUAUAAUUGAAAAUUGGAUAUACCCCACGACAACUUAUUAGGGUCAUUCACCUGAUUGGUCGUACCAAACUGUACAAUUAAUUUAUUGGACGUAUGUGGGAAAAUAACAUCAAUCAACGAAUAGAAUUUUGACUCGGGUAUUGAAUUACCACAUAUAUUAAUUGAGUUUUGUUUAUUUAGUUGUGAAUGUGUGUCUGUCCAUACAUAAAAAAAGUUUUGUUGUUGUUCACUAUUUUUAAUUUGUAAAUAAGCCGUUUCACCUUGCCAGUCAUCUAUAAAAUGAAAAUUUGUUUUAAUUUUAAUUUUGGUAUGGCUAGGUAAAUUAUCAAAUACUUUUAAAAUUGUUCCUUGGGAUAAAUAUCCAUAUCCACCUAACAAAUUUAUUCCUCCACAUACGGAUAUAUGAUUAUUAAAAUUAUUUGUACCUGUCCAACCUAUAGUAGUAGAACUAUCAGUAAAAGACUCAUGAAGAAGCAUGUUAAAUUGUUCAUUGUUUUUUAUUUUUAUACUAUUUUCUACGUUUAAUACUUUUACUGAUAUAUCAGUAUUUAAAAAAUUUAAAUUAUCAUGGCUAUCUAUACUUAUAAUUGGUUUUUUUUUUUUACUCAAAAUUAAUUCAUUUUGCUCAUUUAUACCUAGUUUAUAUUCGAUUUCUUUAUUUACAAAUAUUAACCCGUUUUCAGCAUUAUUUUUUGAUGAAAUUUUAAGAUUUGCAACUGUUAAGUUCCCUUUAACUUCAAGUUCGUUUUCACUGCUAGCCGUUUUAGCGUAAAAACAGAUAAUACUAACUAGCCAAAGUUUUAUCAACAUUUUGGCUAGCUAUGGAGAAAGGCAAAAAAAAAAAAAAUUUUUUUUUUUUAGCAUAUAAACUGUACAUAUAAACUGUACAUAUAAACUGUACAUAUAAANNNNNNNNNNCUGUACAUAUAAACUGUACAUAUAAACUGUACAUAUAAACUGUACAUGUAAACUGUACAUAUAAAACGUAUGUCUAAAAAAAAGAAAAAAAAUAUCACGCUAUUUUAAAAAGCACUAUUAUCACAAAAAAAAAAAAAAAUAAAUAAAAUAAAAUAAAAUAAAAUAAUAAUAAU
ensembl:lncRNA